AUUUUCAUAAUUUAUAGAGAAUAUUACACUGAAGAUGUAAAAGAGAUAAUUUUAUCUGAAAAUA
rnacentral:tRNA from 1 species